UACGAACCACACAAACGUUAUUCGGAAUUACUGGGCUUAAAGGGUGCGUAGGCGGCGCGGAAAGUUGGGUGUGAAAUCCCUCGGCUCAACCGAGGAAUUGCGCUCUGAACUGUCGUGCUUGAGGAACCUAGAGGUGAGCAGAACAGAUGGUGGAGCGGUGAAAUGCGUUGAUAUCAUCUGGAAUACCGGAGGCGAAGGCGGCUCACUGGGGGUUUUCUGACGCUGAGGAACGAAAGCCAGGGUAGCGAACGGG
rnacentral:rRNA from 1 species